GACGGGGGGGGCUAGUGUUAUUCGGAAUGACUAGGCGUAAAGGGCACGUAGGCGGUGAAUCCGGUUGAAAGUGAAAGUCGCCAGCUCAACUGGCGGAAUGCUUUCAAAACCAAUUCACUUGAGUAAGAUAGAGGAUAGUGGAAUUUCGUGUGUAGAGGUGAAAUUCGUAGAUAUUCGGAAGAACACCAGUGGCGAAGGCGGCUCACUGGUCCGGUACUGACGCUGAGGUGCGAAAGCGUGGGGAGCAAACAGG
rnacentral:rRNA from 1 species